ACUGAUACUGAAUCAGGAAGACAGAACAGUUGUUAGAAAACUAAACUGCCAGAGAAGGGUUCAGUGCCUAACCUCUGAAACAACUUUGUUCUUCUAGCUUGGUGGAACCGUGGGGGACAUAGAAAGCAUGCCCUUUAUUGAGGCCUUCCGUCAGUUCCAAUUCAAGGUCAAAAGAGAGAACUUUUGUAACAUCCACGUCAGUCUAGUUCCCCAGCCAAGUUCAACAGGGGAACAGAAGACUAAACCCACCCAGAAUAGUGUUCGGGAACUUAGAGGACUUGGGCUUUCCCCAGAUCUGGUUGUAUGCAGGUGCUCAAAUCCACUUGACACAUCAGUGAAGGAGAAAAUAUCAAUGUUCUGCCAUGUUGAGCCUGAACAAGUGAUCUGUGUCCACGAUGUCUCAUCCAUCUACCGAGUCCCCUUGUUGUUAGAGGAGCAAGGGGUUGUAGAUUAUUUUCUUCGAAGACUUGACCUUCCUAUUGAGAGGCAGCCAAGGAAAAUGCUGAUGAAAUGGAAAGAGAUGGCUGACAGAUAUGAUCGCUUGCUGGAGACCUGCUCUAUUGCCCUUGUGGGCAAAUACACGAAGUUCUCAGACUCCUAUGCCUCUGUCAUUAAGGCUCUGGAGCAUUCUGCACUGGCCAUCAACCACAAAUUGGAAAUCAAGUACAUAGAUUCUGCGGACUUGGAGCCCAUCACCUCGCAAGAAGAGCCCGUGCGCUACCACGAAGCUUGGCAGAAGCUCUGUAGUGC
rnacentral:sRNA from 1 species